UGGGGAAUAUUGGGGCAAUGGGCGAAAGCCUGACCCAGCGACGCCGCGUGAAGGAAGAAGGCCCUCGGGUUGUAAACUUCAGUCAACAGGGAAGAAACAAAUGACGGUACCUGUGGAGGAAGCCACGGCUAACUACGUGCCAGCAGCCGCGGUAAUACGUAGGUGGCAAGCGUUAUCCGGAUUUACUGGGUGUAAAGGGUGUGUAGGCGGGUCUGCAAAGUCAGAUGUGAAAACUAUGGGCUCAACUCAUAGCUUGCAUUUGAAACUGUGGAUCUUGAGUGUCGGAGAGGUAAAUGGAAUUCCCGGUGUAG
rnacentral:rRNA from 1 species